AUGGAAGUUUGAGGCAAUAGCAGGUCUGUGAUGCCCUUAGAUGUUCUGGGCUGCACGCGCGCUACACUGAUGCGCUCAACGAGUUUAUGACCUUGCCCGAUAGGGUUGGGUAAUCUUCUUAAAACGCAUCGUGAUGGGGAUAGAUUAUUGCAAUUAUUAAUCUUCAACGAGGAAUUCCUAGUAAGCGCGAGUCAUCAGCUCGUGCUGAUUACGUCCCUGCCCUUUGUA
rnacentral:rRNA from 1 species